CCCGGGUAUCCUGGAAGGAUAUUGACCUCAUCCUUUCAGUAGAGGAUGCCUGGUUGUUCUUUAAAAGUGCUUUCCUCACCAUCUUAAAUAAGCAUGCUAAGAACAAGAUAGAGCACACAAAAACACUUUCAAACGAUCAUAGAUGACCAGCAGGGUCAGGUAAAGACCUUAAUGGCAUUAGAGGCUGCAAACAUUUCAAGACUCUAGGGUCAGAUGGCUUUCAUGUUUCUGUUCACCUUCCCACCCAUGGGCCAGACUACACCCUGCUACACUCAAUCAUAGGACUGACAGAAGAGAAAAGUCUUGAAGGUUGAGACUGAGUCUGAUUCUCUCACUUCGACAAACCAUUCCAUACAGAGGAGCUCUGUAGAAGAAAGCCUUGUCUCCAGCUCCUGAAGCCCUGCUUCCAAUUCAUCUGAUUGAAUUAGCAGAAAAGGAUCGUUGCAUAUUCACAAAAAUGAUGAGCAAAACACAUUCAAUCUAACCUGGAAUGCUGUGUAGCAGCACCAUCCUCCUUUGCCUCGGUUUCCUCCUUCAGGACCUUCUGCCGACGGAGUUGUAUUGCUGGUACUAUAACAUAUAUGGAGGUGAAUAGACAUUUCAUAGAUUGUUCAAAAUACAUCAGUGUUUUUUUUUAUUUUUACGAUAGCCCAUAUUAACAUUGUGGCUGUUAUCUAGCUACGUGGAAACCACAAAACCCUUAAGCCCAUUUGAAAAACAGUGUUCGUCAUAUUGCUAUCUUUACUUAGCAACAGCUAAUGUUACUGAUGAAUAGUCAGCCUAGUCUGUCUCGGUGUGCAUUGUUUGGGGAUUUUACGUUUGAUGAGGCCUACAACUUUUUUUGACAUAAUUAAUCAACACUAAUCAUGUUCAUUUUAAUGUUAAUUUAAUUAAAGCAGAAAGUAACAUACUAGAACACUUAGCCAGUAAACUAGUAACAAUUUACCCUUUCUCUCUUCCUCCACUCUUGCCGACUACAUUUCCUGUUAUUCGAUGAGUGAACAAUGGAAUGUUAUUACACUCAACUGGUUCUUGUUCCCAUGUGCAAAAUGAUAUACAAAAAAAUAGCAUGUUUUUGUUCUCCGUCCUUAUAGUAAGGUAUAUUAUGUUGAGCCGUUUCAGGAUUUGGCUGUGAUUAGUAUUAAACGUUAGUUCAGAGUUUUUGUUUCUUUUGCAUGUUAAUUGAUUUUAUCAUAUGAUCAUGAAUUUUUCUCAAAUAGGUAUUUACAGUAACUCAAAAGUACAUUGGCGUGCAAUUCACAAAUACACUAGAUCUUGACUAUACAGUACUUCCCCUGUAUACCCUACCCACUUAAAGUUGAAAUAAAACAAGUCAAAUGUACAACUGAAAGUAGAGGUUUUCUUGCCUUCAGAAAGUAUUCACACCCCCUUACUUUUCCAUGUGUUACAACCUGACUUUAAAAUGGAUUAAAUUGAGAUUCGUAGUGACAUUCGUUUGACACUGACACGUACAGUGUGAACUGUUGCUGCGUUUCCAUACCCUCAUGUUGCUCUAAUCAGUUAAGUAGAGCAUGAUAGCUCAGCACACAAAAAGCCUGUGAGAAGAUGGGUUUAGGUACCUUUUUUAACCACAAUGCUCUUUGGCUACGUAGUGACAUUCGUUUGACACUGACACGUACAGUGUGAACUGUUGCUGCGUUUCCAUACCCUCAUGUUGCUCUAAUCAGUUAAGUAGAGCAUGAUAGCUCAGCACACAAAUAGCCUGUGAGAAGAUGAGUUUAGGUACCUUUUUAACCACAAUGCUCUUUGGCUAUGUAGAGACAUCCGUUUGACACUGUACAGUGUGAACUGUUGCUGCGUUCCAAUACCCUCAUGUUUGCUGUUUGUGCAGUUUUGCAUUUUGUCAUUUGUAUUUGAUGUGUCUGUCUUUGUAAUUACAGGCCUCAUUAAGGUUAAAUAUAAAAUACAAGGAAUAAUACAAGAAAUCUUACAUAAGUGUUGAUAAACCUGUUGUGUGUUUGAUCUGUCAGUGCACAGCUUAUUGCAGUGUGUUGAUAAACCCGUUGUGUGUUUGAUCUGUCAGUGCACAGCUUAUUGCAGUGUGUUGAUAAACCCGUUGUGUGUUUGAUCUGUCAGUGCACAGCUUAUUGCAGUGUGUUGAUAAACCCGUUGUGUGUUUGAUCUGUCAGCGCACAGCGUAUUGCAAUGUGUUGAUAAACCCGUUGUGUGUUUGAUCUGUCAGUGCACAGCUUAUUGCAGUGUGUUGAUAAACCCGUUGUGUGUUUGAUCUGUCAGUGCACAGCUUAUUGCAGUGUGUUGAUAAACCCGUUGUGUGUUUGAUCUGUCAGCGCACAGCUUAUUGCAGUGUGUUGAUAAACCCGUUGUGUGUUUGAUCUGUCAGCGCACAGCUUAUUGCAGUGUGUUGAUAAACCCGUUGUGUGUUUGAUCUGUCAGCGCACAGCGUAUUGCAGUGUGUUGCAUAGUGAAAAAUUGAGGAUGACGUCUGGGGAUUGCAACAUUCCCCUUCUGUUUGUGUCUACACACCAUCUAGAAGUUUUGUUUGUGUCGUCUCUUUCUUCCUGCCUCCUCUUCGACCCUAGCCCAGAGUCCGUGGAUUACUCCACACUACAGAGACAGUAGCUGCAACAUCGCCCUUGCAAUAAAAAGUGCAACAGAUUGGCUUGUGAAACGCACACUCAGCCCUCUGAUUGGACCAGCAAACUGUGAAUCAACACAGGUCAGGUGAGCAAAGAUGAGCUGGACUGGAGCACCAAUGAGCUGAGGAACUGUCUCAGAGCCAUAGGCUGUCUGGUAGCCUAUGCUCAAUAAAUAUAUAUUUUUUAGACUACUUGACUUGAGACUUGACUUGAAAAAAAAACAUGUCUUGACUGGAGACAUGACCCCUUCUAGUACUACUUGGGCUUGACUUGAGACUCGGACAAGUUGAUACUUGCUUGUGGCUCAAAUAAUAGUGACUUGGUCCCACCUCUGCAAGGCAGAGACCACUAUCAUGACACACCAAAUGCCUUUGAUGGUCAAUCUGAAAUCUGCAGUGACCGUACAGCAUUUACUGUGAUAUAGCCUCAGCAGAAGUCAAGGCAUUCAUGCUUCUUGCACUUUGCAUAGCUGAGCAGAAGGAAGUUGUCAAGGAAGUGAGUUUGUGUUUAUACAUGCUUCAGUAGGCUCCGCAAUUGGGUUACACUCUCAAUACAGAGCCUAAUAGGCUGACCACACCGCUCGCGUUGCAUGCGCAAGCUUUACAAAAUAUAUUUAGAACUCUAUGUUAUUAAAUUAUUCCACCCACACUGCUCGCACGUACCAACGAGCGUCUGCAUUGCCAAGAGCUAAAAUAAAUGCAGGUGUAGAAGCACGGUGGCUAGGAAAAACUCCCU